GGGCAUAUGGUCUAGGGGUUAUCACGCUCCCCAUGCAUGGCUUUGCACCUGCGAAAGGUCUCCGGUUCAAAUCCGGAGCUGUCCG